CGAUAAUGAGUUGUCUCUAUAAAGACAGACACAUAGACAUAUAAGCAGUAGAUUGUGUCCUUCCAGAGGAGGAAAUCUACUUCUAGACUUCUAGAAUCAGCAUCUCCUCAUCCAUGGUGUCAUCGGGGUGAAAUGACGUCUAAAAACCUUUCACUUGUUCGUCUCCGCCCGUUUGCAUGGUGUGAAAUACGAUCCUCCUGAAACACGGAGUGUUUUAUUUUGAAAAGAAGCCGGAUGUUUUAUUUUGUGUCUGUGCCCGACUUCCUUUCCAGCACGGGUUAAUCUGUGCUGAAUUUAUCCGCCAUGCUCCGGCGUCCAGAAAAAAUAAAACUCUUGUGAUCAGCUGAGGAGUCUGGCGAAAAUUGACACGUUAACGUGAACAGAAACGAUCAGCUACGAUUGACGGAUACGGCCUUCUCGCCGCUGUUCCGGAUGCGGUGGAAAUUGGGGGUCACUCUCUUCUCACUACUGCCAGCCUAACAUUUUAAGUUUGUUUAGUUGGGGACUAAAUCUGUUAAAACAAUGGGGAACAAUGGUCGCCAUGAAAGUUUAUCAUUCAGACAAAAAUGAUUCCAUAGAGAGUGUAGUUGACUGCGUGAUUUGUUAACCAAGUGAUUCAGGCGUCGGCACGUGUGGUCCCUCUAUCACCAGCUGCAUGCUAUGCUAUGAAGUGAGACACGAACAAAUCACUUGAGGAAAUGAUUCGGUUCAGUACGUCCACUUAAAAGAUUCGGUUCUUUUGAACGAAUCAUUGGCGAACAACACAAUGCCAAUCUGACAUGAAACCACUGUACAAUGAAACAGACAGAGCUGUAAUGAAGAGUUCAACCUGUUCAUCGUCUCUGAAGUUAACACCUCUGCCAAGGUUUGACUCACGCCUGCAGAGAGGAAGUGGGCACCUUCAUCUUCACCCAAACACACAUGAAAACAGAGAAACACACACACACACACACACACACACACACAUAGACCUUUUACACACAGGCGGCGCUGAAAUAACUCGUGUUGUGACCGUCAAACUCCGAGCAGAGUCUCCGGGUGCAGAUGAUAGAGUUGCCAAAGGAUCUGUCUGGACUUUCUGCUUACCACCUACACAGCAUAUGGUGCUGGCUGAUAACUGAAGCACAUAUUAAUAAGCCUGCAGCAUGUUAACGAGGGAAAAAAAAACAUGACCAGACGCACUAAUGAAUGUGUCCAACAGCAGCAGCAGCAGCAGGUGAAGGCAGAGCGCAGAGAAAUGUACGUGGGAGAGGAUUUAUCGUCCGUCUCUGAAUAACUGAAGACUCUCACAGAUUCACAGAGACACAGUCAGUCCCUGUUGUCUCCUUUGAAUCACUCGUCCUCAUAUUUGCUGGCCUGGCGUUGGAUGAGGCCUAAGGCCUGUCCACCGAGCGCCUCAUAAAACGUUGACCACAGCUGGCCUUGAGCUGACACCGAUCCUGAGCGAUUAGUGGUUAAACUGGGCCGUGGUCAACAUCUCCAACUGUGCUAUGAAUCCAUUUGCAGUUGUGUUUUAGAUUUUCUCGCACAUUUCACGGCCGGAGUCUCCAAUUAGACCCAGAAACGCAGGAGGAGGUUUUCUCACGUUUCCUGGUUUCCCACAUCAUCUCGUCUCUUCAUUUUGCAACAACAGAUCUGCUCUAACCUGCAAAGUAAUAAUAAUAAAAAUACACCAAACCUGACAGGACUUUUUAGGAGAUUUGAGUCCGACACGGAUUUCUCAAGAAGAUUUUACAAACGCUGCACACGUCGCAUGUUCACUAACAAGACGGCAUCUCGAUCCCUGCUGAGAUUUUCUCCAAUCAGAGUCCCGGAGGAAUUUUAAAGUGAAAAACAAACAGUGUGAGACAGAAGCAGAUGUGGUUAUUCAUGCAGUCACCCAAACGUUCAUCAUGAGUCCGACAACACUGUCUUUAAGUCUCCGUCCCAGUGUCUCAGCGACAGUGACUCAGCUGCUGCAGACGUCGAGGAGUGCGCCGCUUGAUUCCUCGUAACACGGGAAUGAAAAUAAAUGUCUGCAAGUGCAUACCAAGAGGUCCAGAGGUCGCUGAGGAAGUGCGCUGUCUUAUUAAAACAUGUAACCUUUGGCUUGUAACAUAUGUUGAAUUUUUACCACUUGGAUGUGUCGGACGGAAACAUCUGCUGUGAAUCUGAAUCCGUGUCCUGGAUGUCCUUGGACUUUUUCUGAUGCAUUCCCUCAUUUCACAGUCGACCCACCACACUGUCCUUCGAACACCCUCGGACAUCCACCAUCAUCAUCAUCCGCCCUCCUCCUCCUCCUCCUCCUUCUCCUCCUCCUUCCUUACCUGCAGGACCUGAGCUCAUUGUUUUUGCCCUGCUGAUUAACCUCUCCCCGCCGCAGGGCUCGUCUCACGUCGGGCUGUGGGUGGAUACGGGCUGUACCGGCACCAAAACACGGCCGGCUUUUUCUAAUGAGUUCCAGCCGCUCAGGGCUGCAGGAGAGUCAGCCUGCUGUGAUUGGCACCUGUUUAGGAGGACAGUGUGUCUGUGAGAAAGCAGAGUUUAGCUGUGGGAACACCGAGUCCAUCCCACUGCAAUCAACAAGAGGAGAGCGAGGUCAAAUCGGACGAAGUCGGAGGAAACUGUGGUUUGUUUUGAUAUACAAACACUCCAAGGUAACUCUCCGUAGUUUAGCUGUCAUGCCAUGAAAUCUUAACUGGGUAAUUAAUGUACGCUAACGGCUAAAUUCCACAGGAUAGGGAACGUCUGCGCUCUGCCCCAGAACGGUAACCUGAUCAAAUAUGCAAGCAUUAUAAUAAAUGAACAUGAUUCCACACAAUGCGCCCGCUGUCCGGCUCUGCUGUGGAUCCGCUCCGGUGGUCGGAUCAGAAACGCAAGGCUUCUAUUUAUGCCGGACGCCGCAGCACAAUGCAUCAAUUCAAGGCAGCAGAAGUUGUAUGCGGCAAUAUCCGGUUACUUUUCAGAAUAAAAUAGAGUCAAUACAUUGAACUGUUCUUCACAUGAUAAUGGGAGGGGCCAGAGUUGUUGGAUGUGGGUGUUUAUAUACACCCCGGAUCUCAUUCAAUGUCUCCCGAUGAAACAUGUCAGAUCUUGUCCAGUCUCACGAGAAAUAUCGGUAACAUCGCAAGCGCUUCUCCUCCGCUGGUGGCAGCGGAUCGGAUCUGGUAGGCACUGUUAUGGUAGCGUUUUUGAUCCGCCUGACGUUCCGGAGCGUAGUGGAUCUGCAUGCGGUGGAAUCUCGGUGUAAGUGUUGUACCUGCGUGCAAACCUGUUGUAUCGUAUGUCUUCAUGCCCUGGAGUUUUUGAUCUUUACUCCAAGUUUGACAUGCAUGUAGAAAAGUUCAUAAAUGCUAUAAUUCUGGUGCGUGAAAAUCCUCCUCAUGCAAAACACAAACAAAGGCUGUUUCAGAGGAGUGCAGGUCCGCACUCGGACUGACCCCUACCCCCCACCACCAGUGGAUCCAGACUGUAAAAAUAGUCCGUCUCUAUGUUCAUGGUCUGGUUAGCUUUUAAGCCUCAUGCAGAAACAUCAGCGUUAGUUUCAGUCCGUUUUGUAACCUCUUAAAAACUCUUCAGCAUAACUAAGACGAUGUAUGUGACAGCGGGGGCGAACAAAACACAAAGAACUUGUUUUGAGCGUUUUCCAUUUCCUCAAACUCGGUGUGAUUCCAGCUCGGAAAAGAGCAACUGGGUUUCAUCCUUAACCUUUAACUUUGACGUUGAAUCGGAGCAGAGAUCCUGUAAGAAACACAGACUUUUAAAGUCAAUAAUUCCUGCUGAGUGCGGUUGUGUCGGGGGCCUGUCUGUCUCUCGGUUUUUUCCUCGCCGUGGUCAGGCAGCUGUUCUGGGGCAGACGGGUGUAACAACAGCAUGUCUGCUUUGUUUUGGGAAAUGAGGCACGGGUUCACGCCGAUGGCCCCGUGCAGCAGCAGCAGCAGCAGCAGCAGCAGCAGCUUGCGGCCCGUGCCAGGCUCUCAGGUUAGACGUGUCCGCCUGCUGCCUGUUCACCCUGACAGGACCUCCCCCAGCAGGACUGAUGCUGCACAUAAUGGGAAAUCAAUUCUAUUUUUGUUGCCUGGGUAGGUGGGCUUAAGGAAUAAUUACUCAGUCAAGAAGUGGGAGACAGGGGGGAGAGAGGGAGUCUGUCCUCACAGCUUAUCCACCGUGGUCUUCCUGCUUCCUUGCUGAUGUGAAACCAAUACCAUUAUCCAGUUAAAUCCUCCAUGGACCGCUCCGGCUCUGUAAGAAAAACAGCAGUGAGCGGCUCGCCAUCGACGUGUGGAGCUCCUUAAUGAGAUUCCUCGGGGUGCAUUCGGCGAAUGGCGGGAUGUCAUGAUUCUUUUAGUGCGGAUUCUUUCUGUCCUGCUCCUGGGUCUGCAGGGAGGAAACAAAUGAUUACACACUUAGAGACCCCGGUGCUCUUACCAGGACACUUCAUUUGUAUCCGUCAGAGCCCCAAACCCCCCACAGACAGAGAGACAAUGGGCUGAUACACAGAUAUGCAGACGGACAGACAGACAGGUGGACUUAAGAGUUCAGUGAUCCCCCCCCUCAGCUGGACUACAACUGGUCCAAGUCUGGAUUCAUUUGUUGCUAGGAAACAGGUAAACAAACCAAAGCAGAAGAGAGGAUCUAAAAACAGAGAAAGCUAUUGUUUCCCAUGAGAUGUCAAGUGUUCAACCCGUUAGCCUCUUGCUAACAGGUUUGUUUGAUUGUUUUGGUACAGGACAUAAAGGGUCAGCGAGCGGUCAACAAGCUGACGCCAGCAAGAUGACCUUAAGACCUUGACCUCCAAUUUCCACCGCAUCCUGAACGGCUCAGAUCCGGAACGGUCGCAAUUUCCACCGUCCACCAAUUCCUACUGGAUCCAUUUGUGAGGCGAAUUUCGUGGCGGAUUACGGAAUCGCGAGAACUCACAAGAACCCGCAGAUUCACAUGCAAUCGCACGAGGAAAUCUACUUCUAGACUUCUAGAAUCAUCAUCUCCUCAUCCAUGGUGUCAUCGGGGUGAAAUGACGUCUAAAAACCUCCGCCCGUUUGCAUGUUUGCAAUGUUUACGAUCAGCUACAAUCGAUGGAUACGACCUUUUCAUGGACGUUACGGAUGUGGUGGAAAUUGGGGAUAAGAGGAGGUCCAUCCAGUCAUCGGGCUCUGAAUCCCUCUGAACUCAGUGACUUUUUUUCAUCCAGAUGAGAUACAGAUGCUGGAUCAGUACAUAAUGCUUUGUUGCCAUGUCAACCAUCCAGUCACUGAACUCUAAAAGGACAAAAAGGUGAUACUGGCUUGAAAUCCUGUGACCGUCUUUCUCACCCCUAACUCCUCCUGUCCGGUCCAGACCUCCCCUCCUCUGCUCUCCCACUCCUCCCCUUUCUCCCAGACUGCCUGCAUCACAGCAGGCCUGAGCAUCCUUUGUGAAAAGUGUGAAAAAAACACAAUGAAGGUUUAAAAUGACUGAGCUCGGGGUUGAAAUCUGGAUGCAUCUUUCCCCAACCCAAUUAACACGGAGUCAAUAGAGAGCAAAUUAAAAAGGCCCCGGGCGCCGGACCUCGCCAGAAAAUGCCAACGGAAUCAAGACGGUCAAGGCCGGCACAAAGGCACAAGCCCCCUGGAUCGGACCAAUCCUCCUGAGCCGCCCUGAUUAAAGCACGGGGAGAUUAUUUAGGACCUCUUCUUUCACGGGGAGGCUAAAUGAGGGGAGAGGGUAUCCAUUCAAGCGGGGCAAAGGGUUGGGAAAAAUGGCCGACUCCGGGUUGGUAACCAUUGAGGCUGCUCACUGAGGUGUGAACGUCCCACCUCCCAAAGACAACAUCCACAGUGGGAAAAAAUCUCAAUGAAAAUGGAAGACAACUGUGGUUCAAGACAAACAUUGGGGAGAAGCAGACUGUCCCAACAUGUUCCCACUCCCAACCGGACAAAGAGAGACGCUUAGACGGUUUAAAGACUUUGAUCCUGCAGGGAUCCACGGUUCGGUUACUGAUAACACAACACUUAACAUUCAUAAAGACCUGAUUUGACUUCUCUUUAGUUUUUAUUCCAGUAUAUUUCUGCAUCCAACCCGAACAGAAAACUGUAGUUAUGACUCAUACAGAUAUCAUUUAAAUAAAUAAAACAGUGUGCAUGCAUUUACUCUGUAGUUUUGUGUUGCUAACUUGUGCAAAAUCACCCUUUUUUCAUGAACAGUAUACAACUUCAACAACAACAUCAGAACUACAAAUUUCACCCAAACACGCCCCCCUCCCAGAACAAACCCCAUAUGCCAACGCUUACCUACGUCACUAAAAAAAUAUAUAAAUAAAACUAAAUAAAUAAAAUAAAAUAAAUAAUAAUAAUUAUAAUAAAAAUAAUUAUAAUAUUAGUAAUGACAUAUAAAAGAAAAUUCAAAUAUAAAUAAAUAAAAACAUACAUUAAAAUAAAAUAAUAAUAAUAUUAAUAAUAAUAUAUAUAACAGAAAAUACAAAUGUAAAUAAAUAAAAAUAUUAAAUACUACUACUAAUUAUAAUAAUAAUAAUAAUAAUAAUAAUAAUAAUAAUAAUAAUAAUAAUAAUAAUAAUAAUAAUUAAUUAAUUAAUUAAUUAAUUAAUUAAAUAAAAAAAAUAAAAAAUGAAAAAAAUAAAUAAAAGUUACAGCAAAAUACACGCAGCAAAGGAUCAAGACAUUGUCAAUAGAAAAGCUCAGCUACUCCUGCAGAUGUGCAACAACCUACCACCACAACAACAUUGAUGGUACUCAUCUAGUUAUCUGUGAAAUGUUAUCCAGAUAUAUUUUAAAGUCACUCCAGCAUUUGUCAAAAAGAGCAAAAUCACUUCCUCAUGUUGGGGUCCAGCCCAAGUCUCAUAGCUGAUAUACUUUAGAGGCCCCAGUCUGGACCAGGACUCAAACCAGGAACCAUCUUGUUUUAGGCAACAUUUCACCACCCUGAAUGCUGGAGGAGAGAUUAAAUUAAGGGUCAGAGUGACUAAUCGGCCAUAUUUGAUCAUCUGGGUCUCUUGUUGUCAUGUUUAGACGCAGCUUUCUUUAUUCUAACUGUAAUAACUCAAUCAUAUUUUGCACUCAGCAGAUGAGCUGGAUUUAUUCUAAUACAUUUUUGUGUACAUGUCCCCGUGGAAAAUAUGCCGGAUCCUGAUGGCGGUAAUCCCGCUCAUCUGUUCCUGUGUGCUCAUUAUGCUAAGAAUCAUUUUCAAAUACCACACGAGUCCGGAGCAAGCAGCCAGGUUCCUGUUAAUGGAUUCUUGACCUUUAUAUGGAGAGUUAUACAGGGAGAGUCUGAUUCUCAGAGGCCGAGUGAAUAUCUCACUAUCCUCUUUCUUACUACCCUCAUAAUUAGGUCCCUUCACUCGUCUAACCACCUACAUCGUGUGACUCCCCCUCGUCCAAUUUAGUCACAGCAUGUCAGACUGGAGGUUAGAAAUCCCCCGUCCCGUCACAGGACCUCUGGUAGAUGAUCCGCCCUCAUUUGAGCCAUAGAGCCCUGUGGAGACACCUUUCAGUGGGCAAAGCUUUCUCCUGGCAAGAUGUGAAGCAGCGAGGGAGCUAAACUAAUUACAGCCGGUCCUGUCUCCUGCUCCGUCUAAGCCGGGGGUUUACCCGGCACAAUGGGGCCUUUAGCUGAGUGCCUCUCCUCUUUUAGCUCCACGGUUUGGAAGCACAUGGGUCCACAAAAGGACUUCCAUUAGUGUAAUUAGAGGUAAAAUGAAGUGCAGUUUUGGCCUAAGUUGUUUGGCGUGUUAUUCGUCUGUCUUUUCUGUGUCAUAGAGGGACCUCUGGAUUCUCCGAGUGCUUCUGUGGAGCACUCGGGCGAUAAUGAAAUGUACCCAAGCCUGGGGAGCUGUGUACGCUGAGGGCUCUCAUACUGUUUGUUUUCCCUUUUGUGUGUCGAUGCGAGAAGAAAAUAAGUUCAUCUUAUCUCCAUGGCAACCGGCUCAGAGUGAUUUGUGAGGGAGAAAUUAUACCUUAAAAAAUGUCCUCCUGAACCUUCGCUCUGGGUGAGGUUUAAAAACAUGAAGCCUCUCGACCGUAGAGUCGGGGCUUAGCUUUGAUAUUAAAGUUUGUAUUUGACAAAAAAAACGUCUGAGCCGAGUCCGAACACCGGAGCUGGAGUCGAUAUUAAUGGAUAGAAAGUUUAGAAAGUUCGGAAAGUUGUUGGCUUAUAUCUCAACAGUCAAUGAUGAGGAAGCAGCAGCCUCACCCCCAAUUUCCACCGCAUCGGGAACGGCUACGAAAAGGACGUAUUUGCUGAUCGUAACCAUUCAAGUUAACGUGUCAGUUUCUACUGGCUUCUUGAAUUAUUUCCAGGCCACGGUGAUUCACCAUAAAGCAGACAAUGAAUCCACUCUGACAGCGCUCUCCCAGUCUGAGCGGACUGUGAGCCUUUAUUCUGAGAGCGUCAUCACAAAUCAGGGUUCGAAGCUGCAAAUGAUGACUUUGAGAAGAAUCAUUAGGAAGGAGGGAGGUGAAAGUUAACUCAACAUCCCAUCCUGCAUUUUAGAGUUUGGCAUAAAGAUUCGAAAACACGUCUGAGGCCAAAACUAACACCUCGGGGUUUAGCAUGUUCUGGAACGUCAUGUGUGGUUGUCACAGAUGAGCUGGCUUCAUGUUCUCAGAGACCGGACCGUUGGUGUGAUACCCGCCGAAUGAAGGACUUUUACUCUACUCCUAAAAACUGAGGAUGCAGCAUCUAUGAUUUCCAGUUCUUCAUUGAAAGAACAACCGGACUGACUUAAGACGUUUCACCUAACCCCCAAUUUCCACUGCAUCUGAUCGUCUCCUAAAAGGUCGUAUCCUCCGAUCGUAGCUGAUCGUAACCAUUCAAGUUAACGUGUCAAUUUACACCGACUUCUUUCUGUUCCUCUGCGGAUCGCCGGACUCCUCAGCUGAUCACAAGAGUUCUAUUUUUUCCGGAUGCCGGAGCAUGGCAGAUAAAUUCAGCACAGAUUAACCGGUGCUGGAAAGGAAGUCGGGCACAGACACAAAAUAAAACAUCCGGCUUCUUUUCAAAAUAAGAGAUGGAGACGAACAAGUGAAAGGUUUUUAGACGUCAUUUCACCCCGAUGACACCAUGGAUGAGGAGAUGCUGAUUACUCCUCUGGAAGGUCACAAUCUAUAUGUCUAUGUGUCUGUCUUUACAGAGACGACUCAUUAUGGCGCGAUUGCACGUGAAUCCGCGGGUUUUUGUGAGUUCUCAUGAUUGAAAUUCGACUCACAAAUGGAUCUGGAAUUGGUACUGCAAAAAUUGCCGGCAUUCCACAUUCGAGUGGUUCCGGAUGCGGUGGAAAUACAGGGUCACUGCAACGCAUCUAUGCUAUUUGACCAGUGCGCAAAAACUGGAGCAUGUGCAGAACGCUUCGGCCAGGUUCAGUCCAACGAACCUGUAAACAUGAUGGAGACAAUCGUUCCUCACCUGCAUUAUCAAGGUAUGUCUGUCCGACUAUGAGAAAUUUGAUUUAGUGCGAUCGAGGUCAGACAGAUUGAUGAGGCAGCUAAAGUCCUGUCACCUCUGGUCUUUAUUCUGGACUUUGGAAAGGGGACCCCACACUGGCUACUGGUCAGGGUGCAGUAAGAAGGUGGUUCGUUUUGUGACCCAAACUGGUCUUGAUCACAAACUGCAGAACCUGUAUCUUGACUCUGCAGACCUCUCUCGGUGUUUAAGCUGCAGGUCUUUACAGCAUUAACUUAAUGGUGGAGCUCAAUACUGAGUAACCCGAGUUACCCCCACCCUGGAGACCUGACCUGGGCUGAGUGAUGGCCCCCCUCCAAACACUGACCUUGGCCUGGGUGCACAGCGGACGGAUGGUGGAGCUCACGACCUGCAGGUGUGAAAAGACGCCGCCUGUAGGGGAUUCGGGGGCGCUUGAGACCCUCCCUGUUUCUGUAUCGAGUUACUGAUGGAGGUGCUGCUGUCAAACAUGUUUACAUUCAGUUAAGACUUGGUGACCUGUCAGGGCUAAAGAGCAUUUCUACUGCUGCGGAGGUGGAAACAUUAAAAACUGAGGACGGUUUUACUUUGGUGUCAAAUCUACCGGAAAAGAAAGAGUCGGACACAGGAGCGGGUAAAAUUAAUGCUGCACAUCUGUUAAAAAGCUAUCUAAGCUCUGCAAACAUGCUAAAUGUUGAGUUCACACAGAUUUUUAGAGAUAUGAAGCUUUUGCAGAUGCUUUACCCUCAAUACCUUUAUUUAUCCCACAGUGUGGUCCUGUUGUAAUAGAAUAAAUUAAUCAGCCGCUUUAAAGGAAACAGAAAAAAAAAAAACAGUUUGUCCGCUUACAGGUGCCAGUCCCCGUCAGUGAAAGACUGUUUUUCAGCAGUUUCAGUGUGUUUUGGAUCGCCUGCCUGUAAAUAAACCACAUGACGACGACGACGGGAGUGCAAUGCUGUUUCCAUAGCAACAGGUAGCAAACCAAAGUCAGUCAAGCGAGUGUUUGAGCGACAAUUACGGCGUCUGUUAGAGCAUCAAAGACCUUCAUGAGAGCGUCCCCGUCACCCUGACAGGCCGCCGCUUUGGUCCUCGCUCCUCUUAAAAGGAAGGUGGAAAAUGUCUGAGGACUCAAAAACAGGAUUUCAAUUUUCCAGCCUCGCUCUCCUCUAAUUGCAUUUCUUCUUACGAGCAGCAUUAGUGCCUUUUAACUUGAAAACCUCAGUGUGAGUUUUUUUCUUUAUCUUCUUCUCUUUGUUGUUUUUUUAAAUUAAUUAGCAGACCUUCAUCGUCACGCAGCGAGGUUGGAGGAGCUCGGCGGUCUAUUAAUCCAUCCAUGACAUUAAUUCUCUCGCUCCCCUCUGCCCUCAGAGCCCAAUCCACUUCAUUAGCCCGUCCUCACUCGGAGCACCCAGAGAAAUAUGUUUCAGGGAGAUUUGUUGACAAGUUUGGAGACGCUCGGUUAUUUCUGUGGGUUUUAGCGACCCUCUGAGUCUCUACUCUCUGCAGCUUCUCGUCGUAUCUGCGGUGAUUGUCUGGAGGCUCUGCACUGAUUCCAAUAACUGAUGUAAAAGAGACUCGGCUGGAGCAGAACACAACAAAAGAAUCAUUUGACUCGUCACCUCUGGGCGCCGCAGGACGACAGGUAAUUUCACAGAGUAUUUACCAGAUAAACCUGUGUUGUUUUACUGAGCGCAUUAUCAACAGACGCCUCCGCGCCGCAAUCUCUUCUCGGUGUAAAUUACACUGUCCAAUCUGUGAGUAUCUGCAUUCAUCUGAGAGAGUUUGGGGAAUUCAGCCCAGAUUAGAGUUUGGAGAAACGAUUCCUGCUCCUGGCAAUCGUGGGACACGGCUCGUUAGCAUGUUAAAAAUGAUGCUGACAUGUUGCUAAAACCUUCAUUUAUUCAGACAAUAACAAAGUUGAAUAUUAGUCGAUUAUGUGAACCAACAGAAGGGGAUGUGUAGACGUCUGUGUCACGACUGCAGAUCCAAAUAGAAAAACACAGAUGAAAACACAAAGCACUGAGUGACUUUAGAGUCCAAUUUUGUGAAGAUGCAGAGAAACCGGUUUUCAGAAAUAUCCACGUAUGUGCGGACAGGGCCAAGGACGCCAGUGUGGGAUUCAUGAGGACACCUGUCUGCACCCUCGCUUAUGAAGAGGUUUCCAGUCCUACCCCCAAUUUCCACCAUCUACUGGAACGUCUACCAAAAGGUCGUAUCCUCCGAUCGUAGCUGAUCGUAACCAUUCGAGUUAACGUGUCAAUUUACACCGACUUCUUUCCGUUCCUCUGCGGAUCGCCGGACUCCUCAGCUGAUCACAAGAGUUCUAUUUUUUGCUGGAAAGGAAGUCGGGCACAGACACAAAAUAAAACAUCCGGCUUCUUUUCAAAAUAAAACACUCCGUGUUUCAGGAGGAUCGUAUUUCACACCAUGCAAACGGGCGGAGACGAACAAGUGAAAGGUUUUUAGACGUCAUUUCACCCCAAUGACACCAUGGAUGAGGAGAUGCUGAUUCUAGAAGUCUAGAAGUAGAUUUCCUCCUCUGGAAGGACACAAUCUACUGCUUAUAUGUCUAUGUGUCUGUCUUUAUAGGGACAACUUGUUAUCAUGUGGUUGCACAUGAAUCCGCUGGUUCUUGUGAUUCCUGGUGUCCGUAAUACGCCACAAAAUUCGCCUCACAAACGGAUCCCGUAGGAAUUGGCGUUCCAGAUGCGGUGGAAAUCCCGGGUUAAAGAUGAUUAUUUUCCUCCCAAAUUGUCAAUCACUGCACAGUGUGAAAAGUAAAAGAAAUCGAUGUUGUUUAUUUUUGGUUUAUUUUUGAGAUUUUUUUAAGCGAUUACUAAAACCUCGUCUUCCUCACCUGAGGAGAAACAUGACGUCUUCAUGACGGCCUCUGUCACCCGUGCUCCUCACAUUUGUCUGAGGCCUCCUCCCAACAUCCCCCUUCGGUCUGAGCUCACUUUGUUCCUGAGGAAACAGGUGAUGAGUGAACAGGCUGGAUGAGGAGGAGGAGGAGGAGAUGACGACAAGGUCCCCAGACACGUUUUUAAUCAGACCUCCUCCUCUGGGACCAAACUUCUCGGAGACUCAGAUCUACACCUCUAGAGCCGCCCACCCCUCUGGACCCCGGCGCUGACGGACGUCCAGGUGGUGGACCGCUGGGGGAGAAAAGGCCCCGCAGCAGAUGGACGAAGGACCCUGAAGCCGUCAGAGGGAGUGUGAGACGCAGCACAGCUGACGGGGGGCGAAUGAGGCUGUCAUCAACGCCGUUACAGCCAAAUAUGGACGCCUGCUCCUCCGUGUUAAUGACUGUCCAUGAGAGUUAGAGUGAAAAGUCAAGAAGCGCUCUUAUUUCAGUCGCUCAAAUCUGUUUUUAAAGGGACAUUUCAGCAUUUUAGAGCGAUGUAUGAGUCACACGUCACUAAUGAAGGUUUUAACAGCAGUGGAUAUCAGUCGGCUUUGAUGGGACACUGUUGGGAGGAACCGCGUGCAAGCUAGGCUACACCACCUCCACCUGCAGCAGGACCAGCUAACCAGGUCACUGAUGUGUAACCCCUGUCCCAUGAGAAGUAAUAGGGCUGUUGUUGUUUAGUGGGACGGGGCCCGAGUUCGUCUGGCACUACCUGUGAUGACAGUAUAUAAAAUAUUGUGGUGGUAAAAAGUAAACACUAAAGGUGGUACUUUCCCUUUAAAAGUCACUUAAACCUGUUUAUAUUGAUCCAAAAUAUAUAUAAAUAUAAAUAUAUAUUUUUAGUUUUUAGUGCUGCUUUUAUACUUGCACUAUACUGGGGCAGCUGUAGACCCUUUCAACAGUUUAUUUUUUUAAUAUUGACAUUUGUAUUGAGUGACAUGACUGCCACUUGUUUCACAGAAAGCAAACAGUUUGUUAUUCUCCAGUGCAGAGCCUUUACUUUGAUUUAUACAGCCGCUUUAUUUCAUUUGAGUUUAUUUAUUCAAAGUUUUCAAAAAUUUGUUGAAGGUUCAGAAAAAUUAAAGAUAUUUAUCUUUGAAGCCACAUGUGUAAGCUCUCAAAUACUUCUUGAAUGUUGUUUCUAUCUGCUACAAACGCUGAGAUAUCAGCUUAUUUAUAAACCUCAGGAUCUGGGGGCCCUUCUCAAAGUGGCCCUCAGGGUUUCAGAGUCUCAGACUGGGUUCAGGUCUUAGUGGGUUAAAUCAGCAUAAACAAAAAAGGCAUGUGCAAAGUGUUAAUUGUACUCACGAAUCCACACAGUCAGAGAUGAAGAUGGGAAAAAGGAGCAGAUGUGCAGUUUCAGCGGUUAGUGAAUGGAGCGUACAGCAACACGGGGCGGCAAACUGCGCUGAAGUCCAGCACGGUCCAGGUCGGUCCUCACUCUCUCUUCCUCUGAUGGAAAAUGUCUGCUCCUAAAUCACACAAUCACUCUUAGUAAAUAAGUUACAGGCUCAUUCAUGGCAAAAGAAAAACCCAGAAUGUCUCACAAAUUAGCAAUAGCUAACGACAACGCAGAAUAAACAGUGAAAGCCUAUGGUGAGGCUAAGCUAAAGGCUAGCAGUGAUUAGUGAUUCAGUUAGCUUUUUACGCAUUACAAAUUAACCACAGUACCGAGCAAAUCAAUACACAUGAAUUUACCUCUGACAGAUUCCCAGAGUUCACUCACAUCAGCCACAGGAAGUUAGGAGUGUUUCACUUUUACAGCUUAGAGACUUCCUGCUCUCAUGAGGAGAAAACUUCUUCUUCUUCAAUGGAAUUUAUUGGCAGUUGGCAAACCAACUUGAAGGUGCAUUACUGCUACCUACUGGUCUGGAGUGUGGAACAGUAAUUUGGUAGACAAAAACCUAAAUAAGGAAAUUAGAUCCCUGUAUUUUUCAAAUAUGCCAUUAAAUGCUUCAGUGUAACUUCUGACUCUGCUCCGAGCAGGUUCCCCAUAUUAAGUUCCAUCCUGACUUCCUCUGCUGCUGCUGUCUGUGUCCUUCUUUCCUCCUCAUAUCCUCCACAAUCCAACAACACAUGCUGGACAAUCUCUUUUCUUCCUCUUUUGAUUUCACCUCUUUUAUUCUGCUGUUUGACAUUUAUUCUUGUCGACCUUUGGUGUGAAAUCUUCACUUUUUCAGAGUGACCAAACAUCCUCUUUUACCCGGACAUGUCCUCAUUUUGGGGGGCUGUCCGGCCUUGUCCGGGGGAGUUUAUAAAAUCCUUCAGAUGUCCGAGGUUUUGUUUGGAAGUUUUGAGUUUGUGUAGCGUGGAUGAACUAACUAACUAACUAAAUUUGCUACACAUGACUCCUGACUAGUCGUGUCCUCUUUUUAGAGAUACAGAAUAUGGUCACCCUAACUUUUUAAAAGGUGCUAAAUACAUAAAAUUAUUAUUACUGUUGUGAGGGUAGAGGACAUGACUGUAACUCUGACCUGUUUGGUGGAUUCAGGACAAAAAUAUUAACACUUGUUGGGAGUUAGCGGGUUGUUUUAGCAUCAAUUUAUACACUAAUAUAUUUAUUUUGUCUCGCCUCUGAGUUAAGAGAAACAUGCAUUUAAACCCUGAAUGUGUUUCUUCUUUAUAAACUAAAACCUCCUCAUUCAGACUCUCAUCCAUCAUUAAAAAAAACGUCAUAAACAACAGGAAACAAUUGUCCUUUAGUUUGAACCUCUGCAGCCGCCGACCGUCUGUGAACCUGGUCUGUGGCGGAGAAAUGUCGUUAUUGUCAGAGUCUAUUAGACCUGACUUCCACUGAUGUUUAGCAUCCAUUUGUGCUCUGAAUACUGUCGUUUUUAAUAAGCUUGCUGGGAAGCAUAAGAAGAAAAUGUACAAUGAUAAGUUAAUUAAAUUUGAAACAUUACAGAUCGUAAUCAUCGACUCGGGAAAAAACUAAACAGUCAUUUUCUGUCCAUGCCCACUUAGACAGAAAGAGGGAAACGCGUGUAUUUCAAUUACUUGAAAGGUUCAUCUUCCCGAGGUUCAAAGGGAAAAGCUGAGGCAUUUUAAAUUAGACAUGGGGCCUUCUACUUCUUGACUAGUUUUAUCAGUAAUUACAUUACUCAUCUCCAAAUCACACCCUCAUCAUGCUUAAUCGAGCAAAAAUUGGACACAGAAGAAAAAUAAUGACGGCGCCCUUUUCCAUCAAAGAAAUCCAUUUAUAAAAACAGCAGACAUGUUCGUGGUUUUCCCCUCUGCCGGCUGAGAACAGUUCAGACUUUUUUUUUCCAUCCAAGGACACUCGCUCGCUCAUUUCUCUGCAGACUGAACUCCUGUGAAGAUGUGAGGGGACGUUUUUUCUUUUGUGGCCACCCACAGGUACACUGUCCGACUCUUAAUAGCAUCAAUGAAAUAUUAAAGACCGGAGUUACUUUUAAUGAACUUCUUUGAGGCUUUACUGUCUGAUCACUUUAUCCCAUAUUAAUAGUUUUAAUAACUUUAAAAGAGAAAUGUGUCCUGAUCCAGGAAGAGUUCAUUUAAUUAUGCUUUUGACUGAAAGUGUCUGGAGAUGAUGAUACUCAGAAACAGCACCAGACUCUGGAGGGGGAAUCGUCGCAUCCAGUUGUCCUUUCAACAAAGAACGGGAAAUCAUAGAUGCUGCAUCCUCAGUUUUAAAGGGUCAUGGCAGUUUUCCCAUAGUUUUCUUUUCAGACAAUGCUUUUAUUUUGAAGGAUCACCCAGGUCAAGAAGAAACUUGCAAAGAUCUUCAAAGAAGUUGUUGCAAUCACGUUGACUUCGGGUAAUCUACAUCAGCAAUUAAAGGUGGCGUAGGCAGGAAUCCGUUAAAGAUGCAUCUUUUUUUGUGGUGUAUUUAAUAUCAGUCAAUAGUUAUUACUUAUUGAUGACAUUUGGUAAUAUAUCGAUAUCUCUGUGUUCUCUCUCUGACUGUAAACAAAGCCGUUCUCCACCUCCUCUAACCUGAUUGGUUGUGAGGCAGACGCUGCUCCCCCGUGUCGUUCAGGAGCCCAAACAAAGUUAGCGUGCUACAAUAUCGGACAGUAGAAACCAACCAGAAAGUUCGGAAAAUUGUCUGAAUCCUCCUUUGGCCACGACUGCCGACACAAGCAAGAAAACAAAGUAAAUACCGGAGACUCUGGAGGAAUAACGGGCGCUUAAAACGGAGGUAGACCGGACAAGAGCUAAAAAGCCGGGUCAACAUAAACGAUGGGGGACGCUUGGGGAUCUUGGUGACCCUGUAACCUUUCUGCUGGACAGGUAAACCGCUUUAACAAAGUAAGACAAGUGUCUGUAACAGAAGUGUUUCUUGUCAAACGGACCUGCUGUAGCGUGUUGUAGCGCCAUCGCUAAACUGUCCUCCCUCGGGUCCUGGACUAUGUCACUUUAUCCUCGUUGUAGAAGUCCUGCAAACAUUGUGUUUGCUGGUAGUCUGUUGGCAUCUACAGUAGCACCAAUGCUUUUGACUUUCACCUUGACUGGGCCCCAUUUGUAAUGAUCUGAAGUAUUUAUCUGCAUUAUAUCUGAAUUUAAUUGGAACGAUACGAGCGAGCAGGAGCGUCUGUUUGUCUUCCUUGGCGACCGUCUUUGUUCUCCUCUCUUUGCUCAGCUUGAGUACCUGAAAAAACCCCAAAAGGUUCGCUAACAUGCGUCAAAAUCUACAUAAUUUUACCGAUCAAAUAACAGCAGAUAUAACGCCAUCCAAUUUCCCGUCUUCAGGGGUCAGAUAAGUACACUUGGUAUCCCAACAGAAGGGUCCAAAAACAGUCAUACGGUUCCUUUCCAAACAUUUUAAAGUUAAAAUAAAUAUAUUUAUAUGUAAUGAGAUUUUCCUGGAGUUACUGCAUCAAACAAGUGUUUCUGUUCAGGUUAUAACUUGUGUUUUAUAAUGUUGGCAUCUGCGCUGGGACAGGAGCAGCAGCCUCUCGGGUAAAAUGAAACAGCUUUCAUUUAGUCAUGCAGACCGACAGGAGGAUUUAUGUCCACGCAUUAAACUCUGUGCAAUGUACUUAUGCAACUAAACUGCUGAGAGACCUGCAUGCAAGUGCAAAGCAAUAGGUGUAAAUUCCCCCUCGCUGUUGCAGUUACAAGUCAGCUUUUAUCCCGACGCUUUACGCUGCAAACCUCCUGGAAGAAGAUGUGCUGAGAACGUGGAAAUAAUCUUUGUAUUCAGAAAAAUGUCAGCUGAUGAGAGGACAAAAAAAAAAGCUGAAUCUGUGUCCUCUGUCAACCCAAAGAUCAUUAAGUGAAGAGUCCUGGACCGACAUGACGUGUCUGCAGAGCUGACGUGUGCAGGAAUCGCACCUGUCUGACCUGUGGGCUCCAUUUGAGGGGUAAUUAGUGUGAAAUAAGAGAGGUCAACGAUAACAGGAGGUUAGUGAGGGAGAGGAAUGAGACGCUAACAGGAAAAUUGGCGACGGAUAAAGGAUCAAUUUCUAAACUUAAGGAGACUAAUAAUGAUUAAAAUAGACGAUGAAGAGAGCUGUAACGGUCAUUCUUGGUCUGAAAACAUGAAUUCGUUUUACUCCCUCUGUUUACAUUCAUGGUGUCUCCUACGAUGUUCUGCUCUUACUCAUGUGAACUGAGGCGAGAUUCCACCUGGACCAUGUCGGCUCGUAGCCACUGGAACAUAACUAGCUCCAUCACACCCUCAUCUGUCCCUCAACCACAGCUGCCAAGACCCUGUGAUCCUUUGUCCCCCCCGAGUCCCUGAGACCACAGCUCCUCUGUUUGUCAGUGUGUGAGGGGGCGGACGGUGAACUACCAGACACCUCUGCCUCCUCCUCCUCCUCCUGCACCUGCGCCCUGCAGAAAAUCCUCGGAGAGACCAUUACAUGAUCACGGCUGACAGAGCAGAUCCCAGCUCUGCCUCUGAGGCCGGCGACUGUUCACGGUGUGAGGAUGAGUGAGCUUUAAAGUUCAGAGAGAGCCAGGAGUCCUGCACGCCACGCCGUCAGGCGGGGAGCUGGAUCACACUUACAUGAGGAGGAGGAGGAGGAGGAGGCUGAUGUCAGGGCUGGAGCAUCUGCAGCGAGGCGUCAGGAGGAAACACGGACAUGAUGGUGAUCAUGAUGCACAUCCUCUCUGGCGGACUGUCAUUGAGAAAAGAGUCAGACUUCCUGUGAAUCACUUUUCUAAGGAACGUGACCCUCAAUUUCCACCGCAUCCUGUACAGCUACGAAAAGGUAGUAUUCUCCGAUCGUAGCUGAUCGUAACCAUUCAAGUUAACGUGUCAAUUUCUUUGAGGUGAAUUUCGUGGCGGAUUACGGACAGCAGGAAUCGCGAGAACUCACAAGAACCUACGGAUUCAUGUUCAAUCUCAAUAUAACAAGUUGUCUCUCUAAAGACAGACACAAAGACAUAUAAGCAGUAGAUUGUGUCCUUCCAGAGGAGGAAAUCUACCUCUAGACUUCUAGAAUCAGCAUCUCCUCAUCCAUGGUGUCAUCGGGGUGAAAUGACGUCUAAAAACCUUUCACUUGUUCGUCUCCGUCUCUUAUUUUGAAAAGAAGCCGGAUGUUUUAUUUUGUGUCUGUGCCCGACUUCCUUUCCAGCACGGGUUAAUAUGUGCUGAAUUUAUCCGCCAUGCUCCGGCGUCCGAAAAAAACUCUUGCGAUCAGCAGAGGAACGGAAAGAAGUCGGUGUAAAUUGACACGUUAACUUGAAUGGUUACGAUCAGCUACGAUCGGAGGAUACAACCUUUUUGUAACUGUUCAGGAUGAAGG
rnacentral:lncRNA from 1 species